GCAAGAAGGACCUUGGUCAGGGAGGUGACCAAGAACCCAAUGACCACUCGGACAGAACUACGAAAUUUCUUGGCUGAGAUGGGUGAACCUGCGAAAAGGACAUCUCCGCACAUCACCAGUCAGCUUUAUGGGAGAGUGGCCAGAUGAGAUUGAGACUCUGCAUUGAAGAAUGGGAGAAAUCCAGAUGUGCAAAGCUGAUAGCCAUACCUAAGACACAACUCAAAGCUGUAAUCACUGCCAAAGGAGUUUACACUACAAUCCUGCUGUGCUUUUUGGGAUAAUCAGCCUCUUCUCUGCUGGCCUGUCUUCUGCUUCUGGACACCAUGGAUUGUCAAAUCCAGAUUGUCACAUGGUAGGUCAUAAGUGGGACAUAGUACCAUGGUUCAAACUUGUCUACAGUCAUUGUAAUAUUUGUCAAUGGUUGUCAUGAACUUGAAGUGCAGGUCAACUUCUAUAGACAUGUUUAUGGUCACAGUUAGUGCCAUAUCACUAAUGUCGUGUGCCAUAUGAUUUUGAAAAGGCAGAAUCCAGCUAGCACAUCUUAUUUCCUUGGGAGUUGUGGGAACAUUGGUUGUGGCAAUGAAGCCAUACCUUUCCUAACUGUUAAAAUGGAAUGUUUUUUUAAACAUUCUAAGAACAGAAGUGAAAAUGUUGAGUGUUCUGGGAACAUUCAUUUAUAGGUUUUUGCUAUGGUUCCUUAAGUUUUCCUGGGAGGUUUUAUUAACACUCUGAGAACAGAAAUGAUAGGCUAUUGAGG
ensembl:lncRNA